AAGAGCACGAAAUUAUAACGUUGGCAAUACUGGAAGCACGUGUGCUCGUGAAUAUGAUUGCAAUCGCCAGCUGUCAUACGCUAUCCUAUUUAACAUCUCCGUUUCAUUUCUGAACUGAUUUAUAAGCUCAAUCACCUAUGAAUAUUGCAAGCAUACGUUGUAUUCAACCUGUAAGUCCAGAAGGUGAUUAAUAAAAUGGAAAAAACUAGCAAGAAGGAGCUCUGGGAAAUCGUAGACAAGCAGAGGCAAAAGCUAACCAAGUAUGAAAACCGUUUGAGAGAUAUCGUGCCGGCGUACGAAAGUCUAAUAAAGGAAAAAGAAGCCCUAGAAGAAAGCCUCAAAGCUUUUAUCCUUAAAACUAAGGCUGACGUUGAUAAAAAUGAUAAACCGUCGGAUUUGAAAACUGGCACUGAACCGGUGCCCAAUUCUAAAAAAGAAGCAAGCCAACCAGAGACGGUGGAGCAGUUAAAAACUCAGCUUAGUGCCCUGAUGAAUUCACUAGCAACUCUUUCGGCAGAAAAAUCAAAAAUGGAGGCGAAUUUUCAGUCUGAUAAAAAACAGCUGCGUACGGAAAGAGAAGAAUAUGAAAAAGUUAUCAGAGAGUUGAGAGAAAAAUUAAAACAGGCACAAAAAGAGACACGCUCCGAGGUUGAACAUGUUAAGUAUAAACUGAUCAUGGAACGGCAUGAACGGGAAAAGGAGCAAGCUGAUCAUUCCGCAAUGAUUAAGUACAUAUACCUCACUUGUAUGAAGAUUGCUUUCGACCAUUGUUGGGAACUGCAAAGACUGCUCAACGACGAAAGAUGCGCCAAAGAACAGUUGGAAAACCAAGUUAGAGAUCUAAAGAUCAAUGUCGCGAGUAAAGAGCAAAGUAAGUUGCUAGAGGCGGAGUUAGAAAUUGCUAGGAAUAAAUUGAAACAAGCAGAGGCAGCUGCAAAAGAAACUCCUCCACUGCUGCUUUCUUUACAAUCUGAAAUGGCGAGUUUAAAACAACAACAUCGCAAUGCAAUUCAAGAGGAACAAAAAAGAGCCUCUGCCGCAGAACAACAGGCAAGAAUUCUAGCAAUGACGCAUGAAUCCAGAGUCGCAGGGUUGGAGGCUCGAUUAGCAGAAUUAUCGGAAACAGUCGGAGGAUACGAUAGACUGAGGCAUCAGGAUCAGCAAGCUAUUCAAAAGCUAAAGGACCAAUUGGCCAACUUGCAGGGGGCUGGAUGUAAAGAUAAAGAAACAGGAAGGUUUGAAAAUGAUCCAGAAGAAAUUGCAGCUAAAAUAAAGAAGCUCUAUGCUCGUAUGUCGGACCUGGCUAAUCAGGACAAGUCGUCUGAUAUCAAAAAUCUUUUAGGUAAAUUAAAUCUACGCGAUGUUAACGAGGAUCUAGAGUACAAAGAAAAGUAUGAAAAGCUAGAGCAAGAGUUCGAAGAUUUUAAAUUGAAAACAUCGGCCCAGCUUCGUCAUGCGAUACCUGAUUCCUCACUGAAUAAAGAACGGGACAAAAUUACUGCUUCUGAAUCAAAUGAAAGCGGCAAUUACAAACUGCAGUUGAAUGCUGCUAAAUUGCAGGUUAAAAAUUUGGAAGAAAGAUUGCGCAGGUCGCAUGCAGAUAUAAUUAACAAAGAAAAAGAAUGCAAAUCUCAAUUAGAAAAUCAGCAACAGCUACUCAGAGAAGAACGAUUGAAAAGUGAACGAUCGCUAUCUCUGAAAGAGAAUGAAUUCCGAGGGAAGAUUUCAACUUUGGAACAUCAGCUUCAACGUCAAAGGGAACGAACAUUAGUAUUAAUUCAGGAAAAGGACCAAGAAAUUCAAACCUUAAAGUCAUCAUUUCACGCGUUACUGCCAAAGAAAGCUUCUUCUGGAGAUCAGGAAGACCGCUCCAAAUCUCCAACUCCGGACAAUAUUUCCGAGCCAGCAGUUGAUCUCGUUACAGGCUUGCUGACAGCCGACAGUCCACCUAUGCUCCAUUACGCUCAAGAAUUGGCGCGGCGAGAAGUCCAGGUUUCAGGAUUACGAAAAAGCAAUAUGAAAAUGGAAGCAGAUAUUAGAGAGAAACACAGAGAAUAUAUAAAAGCUACUGAAAGACACAGGGAGGAAUUGAAGAGACUAGAAAAUGAAGUUACAAGAUUGAAAGCCUACAAAUCCAGAGAAGGUGCAAAUCUCGAGUACUUGAAGAAUGUCGUACUGAAUUACCUCCUGACUAAUAAUGCAUCCAGUAAGCGGCAUAUGUUGAAUGCUAUUUCUACAAUUCUUCACUUCACUCCGGAAGAGGUGGAGAAAAUUCGUCACCUCAAACAACAUUGAUGAAUAUAUCGAUUAAAUGGUGCUACAUUCGUCAUUAUAUUCGUUUCUUGGAAGUAAUCGGAGCAAAAUCAUCAGGGUGUCACGUUUCGAGCAGGAUUAUUUCUCUCUGCGACUACCUUGGCCUGGACAAUCUGACUGGGGUAAAAGGAAAGGCUAGUGGAGAAAGACUGCAGCUCAUGCAGGAUUGUGCAAAUUGUUACCAAUUCUCUUUAUCGAACAACAUGAAAUAAUAAACAUCUCUCGCUUCGAUCACAUUCUCGAUAAUAUAAUAUAACACGUACCUCUAUUUGUAUAUAAUUUACGUUCUCUAAUGCGAUUUAUAAUAGCAUCAAAAUGAUACAACAUUACGGAAGUUUACGCGGUCGAUUUUUAUCUUAACAAAGAUAUUCAUAUUUAUACUAAAAGAUUAAUAAUAUGUUGUAACUAACAGCGGACUGGGUUUUGUUAUAUAUGUACCAUAUAUACAAGUAAGCUACAUUCACCUGACAAAUCAAGCUCGAAGUAGAAGCUUGAAAAUUACUUGAAAAUCAACAGUUAUAAUCAACCUCUUCCCAAAAUGGGAAUACAAAAUUUAGAUUUUCAAUCGUAAGUACAAUACAAAAAUUCGUCGAAAUAUACGUGAACACGUUAAAAAUGUACCCACCGAACGAUCGAUACUAAAUAUUAACAUUUAACUGAUUUCGUAAAAAUGUACUUACGAAUAAAAAGUAGAAAAUUUAUUUUCAACACUUCGAAGGCAUAUUGUGUCUCUACAAUAUCGUUCAGUUAUUAAUGUAAGCUCAAUAUGUCGGCGAUUGUCAACACAGAUUUCAACAUCUUAUUUAUUCUGUCACACGCAAUUUCCUAUUUUAGACAUUAAAUAAUUCGAUUCACGCUUCUCUUUUAACGCGACAUUCACCCGAAUAUCAAUUAUCCAAUUUCUCUAGCAAAUAUUCAAUUUAAUUUAUGUAUUUUUCCCUGUCACUUAAUUUUAUUUUCAAAUAAUUGUUACGUCUUGGUAUCGUAAUUAACAUUAUUAUUAUUACUAUUACCAUUAUUAUUAUUAUUAUUAUUAUUAUAUAUCUCAAUUAUUAUUACAGUCAUAUAACAGUAUGAUUUAUACAUCGUAUUAUAUACACAUUAAAGUAUGUAAUACCCUUAAAAAUUUAUGCUUUUCAAAAAAAAUAAUACAUCCAAUGUUUUUCCUCAAAAAAUUGAAACAGAAAUUUACUUCCUAAUUAUCGUUUCAGAGUAUCUUGAUUAAAAUUAACAAAACUUCAUACACCGUAUGGCUGUUCCCAAAAGCAAUUGAAUCACUGAGUAUUCAAUUAGUUGUCGACAAUAAAUUGUUACGUAUAGCAAUUUGAAGAAAAUAUCAUUUAGUUUCAUUUAUUCUCAAUGAGGAAGUUCCUUUUCCCACAACAGAAAUGCAUUUCAAUUAUUACGAUGUUUGGUCUAUAAGGCAUGACUGUGAAUUUCUAAGCAUCGAAAAGUUUUUACCGUUAAACCACUUAAAUUUCUAAUGUUGAUGUAAGCAUCCAUAUAGCCACGCGGUAAUAUGAUUGUAUUAAUAAUCGUUACCUCGUACUGCGGCUGUCGUCAAAAUGUUCACACAAUAUUCAAUAUUUGUUCAUUUCAUUUUUUGGUAAUCUUAUAAAUUGUCAGAAAGGAUCGUUCUCGCUACUUUGGGGAAUCCAUGCACCAGAUCUCGACUUUAGCUACAAGGAAAGCGAAUCGAAUUGUAAUACAUUAUAGACAUUAACUGAAGUUUCAACCAGCUAAUUGAUAUUCGUGUGAUCAUUGCACCUGUCUUUAAUUUAUCUUAACCAAAAAUACCCUUAAAUACUGUUUUCUGUUAUCUGUUAAUACAACGAUGUGCGCGACGGAGAAUUAAAUGACUUUUAGCAAACUUUCAAGUAUUAUGAAACACAUACUUUAUAGAACAUUGGAAACUGUACUAAAAAAGCAUAACCUAUUUGCAAAUAUGCAAUACAGUGUUCCUGAUUCAUCUAACUAAAUUUAAUUAAUUAAAAUGUUAUAACGAACAAAUUUUAUAAUACAUCGUCAAAAUGUGCACUUCGAAAUUAUUGUACAGUCACUUUAUAAAUUUGGUCUAGCGUGUACUAAUCGGCUGGUGAAGUCUCAGGUAGGCUUUAAAGUCUACCAAGCACCACCGAUGCUUGUUUCAUUACCUUAAAGCAUAGCGUGUGUCGCAAUCAUUUACGGCUACUUAUCUGCACACGCAUACUUUGGGUGUAAUUGAAAAUUGUAAAUGAACCAAACAUGUCCACCGCUGUCGAUAAAGAGUUUCAAGCUUCUGCCAGAUAGUGGCUAUUAUAAAAUGUCAAAUAUAUGUUUAUCAUACUCGUCAUUUCGUACAUGUAUAUAUGAGUGCAUACUUUGUACACAAAUUAUACACGCAUACAUACAGAGAGGGUCGUUUGAAGCAGACCUUUGAUAUUCACGUUCAAAGUUUCGUUCCAGUUAUCUCAAGGUACACGGAAUCACCUCAAGUAGUUUGAAAGAUCAGUUUCAAAAUAUCCUCAUCGUCUUCGUUAUGUAUGUGUCACAUUUGUAUAUAAUCACAACGUUGAGUAGUAAAGAUUUACAUCAUACAUCAAGGGUAU
rnacentral:misc_RNA from 1 species